rnacentral:rRNA from 1 species
UAGGGAAUUUUCGGCAAUGGACGAAAGCCUGACCGAGCAACGCCGCGUUAGUGAAGAAGGUUCUUGGGUCGUAAAACUCUGUUGUUAGAGAAGAACAAGGACGUUAUUAACUGAACGUCCCCAGACGGUAUCUAACCAGAAAGCCACGGCUAACUACGGGGCAGCAGCCGCGGUAAUACGUAGGUGGCAAGCGUUGUCCGGAUUUAUUGGGCGUAAAGCGAGCGCAGGCGGUUUCUUAAGUCUGCUGUGAAAGCCCCCGGCUCAACCGGGGAGGGUCAUUGGAAACUGGAAGCCUUGAGUGCAGAAGAGGAGGUUGGAAUUCCAUGUGUAGCGGUGAAAUGCGUAGAUAUAUGGAGGAACACCAGUGGCGAAGGCGGCUCUCUGGUCUGUAACUGACGCUGAGGCUCGAAAGCGUGGGGAGCAAACGGG